GAUGAACGCUGGCGGCGUGCCUAAUACAUGCAAGUCGAGCGAACAGACGAGGAGCUUGCUCCUCUGACGUUAGCGGCGGACGGGUGAGUAACACGUGGAUAACCUACCUAUAAGACUGGGAUAACUUCGGGAAACCGGAGCUAAUACCGGAUAAUAUAUUGAACCGCAUGGUUCAAUAGUGAAAGACGGUUUUGCUGUCACUUAUAGAUGGAUCCGCGCCGCAUUAGCUAGUUGGUAAGGUAACGGCUUACCAAGGCAACGAUGCGUAGCCGACCUGAGAGGGUGAUCGGCCACACUGGAACUGAGACACGGUCCAG
rnacentral:rRNA from 1 species